GCGCUCGUAGCCUAAUUGGAAAGGCCGCAGUCUUCUAAACUGUUUUCCCAUCGAAGGGACGUAGAUGCAGGUUCGAGUCCUGUCGGGCGCGCCA
rnacentral:tRNA from 1 species